GUGGUGGCUCACGUCUGUAAUCCCAGCACUUUGGGAGGCUGAGGCAGGUGGAUCACAAGGUCAGGUGUUCAAGACCAGCCUAACCAACAUGGUAAAACUCUGCCUCUACUAAAAAUACAAAAAUUAGCCAGGCAUGUUGAUGUGCACCUGUAAUCCCAGCUACUCAGGAGGCUGAGGCAGGAGGAUUGCUUGAACCUGAGAGAUGGAGGUUGCAGUGAGCCGACAUUGCACCACUGCACUCCAGCCUGGGCAACAGAGUAAGACUCCAUCUCAAAAAAUAAAAGAAAGAAAGAGAUCGGACAAUAUAGAUAUAUCCAUUUUGGUAUAUUCAGGAAGACAGCAAAAGGGAGACAGAAUGGAUGCCUCAAAGUAGGAUUACAGAAACAUUAGUAGCUUAGUAAGUAGUGGUGAGAUUUGCAGAGUUUUAUUACCAGUUUAUAUUAUUUUUUAGGUAGGGUUCACAUUUUUCUAAAGUGAGCAUUUAUCAUUUAUAUUAAAUAAUUUAGAAGCAAAAAAAUGAAUGAGAGACAUGGAGAUAGCCUUAUAGGACAUCUGCAAAGAAAGGAAAACCAUAUAACUCUAGCUUGAAAAGAUCCUUAAAUACCAAUUAAAAUGGUAUAAAAUGUUCUGUUAACCACAGGCAAUGCCUUUGAGACCCUUGGAAUGAGGAAAAAGAACAAUGACAUCUGCACUCAGUCAUGGAGGAAACAGCUAAACAAGUCAGCAUAGGGUGGAGGUGACCAGUGGAGGGGACUCAGAGUUCUUGAGGUACCUGGAGAUCCCUGAGCACUGGGCUUCCAGACCUCUUUAUAUCAGGCUCACUCUCCUGGGAGAAAUGGCCUGCCUGAAGAGGACUAAAUGAGUUUGGCCUUUAUAGUCCAGAGAGGCACAGCAGAAAGUGUAGCGGGAGACAGAUUUUUUUGCUGUUUGCUGGCUCUCCACUCUCAAUCUCUAAAAUGCCUUUUUUUUUUUUUUUUUUUUUUAAAGAUAUAUCUUUAUUGGCUUGGGUUUUUCUAAUGACAGAAAAGAGAAGUGAGGAGACCAGAUUGGGAACUGAGGUCAGAGAAGUAUCUGUGGGUAGACCCUGCUCUGUGAGGAAACGUAGGAGAUCUACUGACUAGCCUGUCUGGCUGCUGCUCUCUGGCCACACAGGGCAUUUGGCUACCCAUGACUGCUAAUUAAGGGGCAGUACAGUGGCAGCUUCUGAGA
rnacentral:lncRNA from 1 species